rnacentral:rRNA from 1 species
CCUUUCAACUAUUUAUCUCCAACCCACCUGUGCACUCCUUGUAGAUGCUGGAUAACAACUCUCCUUUGGAUUGUUGUGUUCUUUUGAGGGUUUUGCCGUCAAGGCUGCCUUUGCUUGUCCAGCAUCUAUGUAUUUUAUAACACACCCCAUUUUAUAGUUUUUGAAUGUUUUAUCAAAAGGCAGCAAUGUCUUUUGUUAUAAAUAUUAAUACAACUUUCAACAACGGAUCUCUUGGCUCUCGCAUCGAUGAAGAACGCAGCGAAAUGCGAUAAGUAAUGUGAAUUGCAGAAUUCAGUGAAUCAUCGAAUCUUUGAACGCACCUUGCGCUCCUUGGUAUUCCGAGGAGCAUGCCUGUUUGAGUGUCAUUAAAUUCUCAACCCCUCUUCAGUUUUCUGAAGGGGUGGCUUGGAUGGUGGAGGUGUUGCAGGCUUGAUCAAAGUCGGCUCCUCUUAAAAGCAUUAGCAGAACCUUUGUAUUGACUUGGUUUCUGGUGUGAUAAAUUAUCUACGCCAUUCCAGUCAGUCAAAAAACCAUGGUUCAGCUUCUAAAUCUGUUUACUAUCCUUUCAAGGAUGAAAAACA